CUGGCUCAGGAUGAACGCUGGCGGCGUGCCUAAUACAUGCAAGUCGAGCGAACGGACGAGAAGCUUGCUUCUCUGAUGUUAGCGGCGGACGGGUGAGUAACACGUGGAUAACCUACCUAUAAGACUGGGAUAACUUCGGGAAACCGGAGCUAAUACCAGAUAAUAUUUUGAACCGCAUGGUUCAAAAGUGAAAGACGGUCUUGCUGUCACUUAUAGAUGGAUCCGCGCUGCAUUAGCUAGUUGGUAAGGUAACGGCUUACCAAGGCAACGAUGCAUAGCCGACCUGAGAGGGUGAUCGGCCACACUGGAACUGAGACACGGUCCAGACUCCUACGGGAGGCAGCAGUAGGGAAUCUUCCGCAAUGGGCGAAAGCCUGACGGAGCAACGCCGCGUGAGUGAUGAAGGUCUUCGGAUCGUAAAACUCUGUUAUUAGGGAAGAACAUAUGUGUAAGUAACUGUGCACAUCUUGACGGUACCUAAUCAGAAAGCCACGGCUAACUACGUGCCAGCAGCCGCGGUAAUACGUAGGUGGCAAGCGUUAUCCGGAAUUAUUGGGCGUAAAGCGCGCGUAGGCGGUUUUUUAAGUCUGAUGUGAAAGCCCACGGCUCAACCGUGGAGGGUCAUUGGAAACUGGAAAACUUGAGUGCAGAAGAGGAAAGUGGAAUUCCAUGUGUAGCGGUGAAAUGCGCAGAGAUAUGGAGGAACACCAGUGGCGAAGGCGACUUUCUGGUCUGUAACUGACGCUGAUGUGCGAAAGCGUGGGGAUCAAACAGGAUUAGAUACCCUGGUAGUCCACGCCGUAAACGAUGAGUGCUAAGUGUUAGGGGGUUUCCGCCCCUUAGUGCUGCAGCUAACGCAUUAAGCACUCCGCCUGGGGAGUACGACCGCAAGGUUGAAACUCAAAGGAAUUGACGGGGACCCGCACAAGCGGUGGAGCAUGUGGUUUAAUUCGAAGCAACGCGAAGAACCUUACCAAAUCUUGACAUCCUUUGACAACUCUAGAGAUAGAGCCUUCCCCUUCGGGGGACAAAGUGACAGGUGGUGCAUGGUUGUCGUCAGCUCGUGUCGUGAGAUGUUGGGUUAAGUCCCGCAACGAGCGCAACCCUUAAGCUUAGUUGCCAUCAUUAAGUUGGGCACUCUAAGUUGACUGCCGGUGACAAACCGGAGGAAGGUGGGGAUGACGUCAAAUCAUCAUGCCCCUUAUGAUUUGGGCUACACACGUGCUACAAUGGACAAUACAAAGGGCAGCGAAACCGCGAGGUCAAGCAAAUCCCAUAAAGUUGUUCUCAGUUCGGAUUGUAGUCUGCAACUCGACUACAUGAAGCUGGAAUCGCUAGUAAUCGUAGAUCAGCAUGCUACGGUGAAUACGUUCCCGGGUCUUGUACACACCGCCCGUCACACCACGAGAGUUUGUAACACCCGAAGCCGGUGGAGUAACCUUUUAGGAGCUAGCCGUCGAAGGUGGGACAAAUGAUUGGGGUGAAGUCGUAACAAGGUAGCC
rnacentral:rRNA from 1 species